AUUGAACGCUGGCGGCAUGCUUUACACAUGCAAGUCGAACGGUAACAGGCCGCAAGGUGCUGACGAGUGGCGAACGGGUGAGUAGUGCAUCGGAACGUGCCCAGUCGUGGGGGAUAACUACUCGAAAGAGUAGCUAAUACCGCAUACGAUCUAUGGAUGACAGCGGGGGACCGUAAGGGAUCGUGCGAUUGGAGCGGCCGAUGUCAGACUAGGUAGUUGGUGGGGUAGAGGCUCACCAAGCCAACGCUCUGCAGCUGGUCUGAGAGGAGGACCAGCCACACUGGGACUGAGACACGGCCCAGACUCCUACGGGAGGCAGCAGUGGGGAAUUUUGGACAAUGGGCGCAAGCCUGAUCCAGCAAUGCCGCGUGCAGGAAGAAGGCCUUCGGGUUGUAAACUGCUUUUGUACGGAACGAAACGGCUCUGGUUAAUACCCGGGGCUAAUGACGGUACCGUAAGAAUAAGCACCGGCUAACUACGUG
rnacentral:rRNA from 1 species